UGGCAGGGCCAAAGGUUUACUGGGGCUAACUAACACUCAGGAAAGGGACAGGAAGGAAGCAGGGCUGGAGAGCAGGUUGAGCCCGACCUGACAGUCUUGAGCGGCCCAACAGGGAGGUGUGGAGCAAGGGUUGCCCACUAGAGGGGCCUGCAUUGGGUACGGGUGGUGGGGUCCACAUGGUACCUGGCACAUAGCAGGCUGUGCAAUCCAUAUUAAGUGACUGGAUAAAUUAAUGCCCAGAAAAGGUGCCCUGGAGAAUGGGUACAUGCUGAACACAAUAGGGAAGGGCCCAGCAUCUGCCUUGGCAUAGGCAGAACUGUGCUGUGCCCUGCAACAUGCCACCUGAGAGCUGCUUUGAUCUUGUGUGUGCAUUAGACAAUUGCCAGGGGCAUGAAGGGGAUGUGCUUCCAGGGCAUUUGCUGGCAGGGCGUCUCCUGAUCUCUUGGUAUUGGUGUGAGCACAGCCUGGCAGGAGAGGGCAGAUCUCAGUGCAAAGUAUGUCAAAAAGCAGAUCGAAGCCAGGCUCCCUCCUGAAAGAAGCUCCUUGAAGGGACAGAGAAGAGUCCAUGAGAAUCAACAUUUUCUGAGGACUCCAACUGUGUGCCGAGAGAGAGUUCCCGUGCUGCUGCCUCCUCUGUAGUAAAGCAAAGGCUCCUAGGACCACAUUAUCAUUCUCUUCACUCGAGAUGAAGACACUGAAAUUCAGAGAGGGGAAGUGAUUUGCCUCAGCUUGUACUAAAGAAACAUUUCAACAGAGAACCCAGUGGAAAUUAUGACAUGUUAUCUUCUCAGAGUCCUGAACUCCCAUCCCUACCUCAGAAGAGAUUCCUCUGUUCACAGAAGCUAAAGGCAGUUCCUUCCCAAUGGCAACUAUGUUUGGAUGUUGGAUCUACGCUUUCUCAAGCACUAUGAUCUUCAAAUGUAAGUUUAGUAACAUAAAUAGCUUUUUGCAGCCUGAAAGAAUUUUAUGUCUCUGUGUUAUCAGGUAAUGUUACAGUAUCUCAUAUUUUGCUGGUAACAUUUAGAAUGUUAAUCUCAUAAGGAGAUUUUAGAGUUGUAGUUAAAUUUCUUUAUCUGGGUUAGAUGGGAAUCCUUUAUCCUGGGGAAAGCAAAGUUCUUUCUAUAAGCCUGGAUUCUCAUAAUAUACAGACUGAGAAACUUGGGAAAGAGUAGGAGCAUCAUUAGUUUCAUUUUAUAGGUGGGAAUAACAAAGCAUGGAGAGACAAACAUAUUUGCCAAAAUAGUUAUUCUCAACUCCUUGUUUUGGGAAUUCUAGAGUGUUUCAUAGGAUUUCAAAGUACCUCACAAAAUUGUUCUGAAUUUCUCAAAGCCAAAUUCAUUUUAAUUAACUUUAAUUUUUUUUGAAAAGUUACAGCAUUCUUGGGGGUAGGAUAGGUACAUUUUAUAAAAACAAUACAAACAAUUAUUUUGCUUAGAACCAGUGAAAUGUCAAAACUCCAAAAAUGUUUGGGAAGCACUGGAUUAGUCAGUAGUAUAACAAGCAAUAGAACAACUCAGAUCAGGUGCAGAGAGGUAUAAACUCUUGUCUCAUCCUCCAUGGAUCUGUAUUUUCAAAGGCAGAGUCUUGUGUGACCGCAUGUCUCAGGAUAUGUCUCUUCUGGACAGGGUUUUUACAGUACUUGAGAAUGAUCCUAACAACCUUUUGGGGUGACUCAAUUUUUUUCACUGCUAGAGAGGUAAAACAAAUAUUGAUACAGUUGAACAGUGAGAAAUUGAGUUUGGCUGGAGCACAGGCUCAUAAUGGUAGAAUUAUGAGCCUGUUCUAGGCUGUGUGGGUUUGGCCAAAUUGGGUCAAGUGAAAACAGAAAGAUCAGUUAGAAACUCGCAACAGUUUCGAUAAAAGAUGUUAUGGCGGUUGUCCAACUUUAUUCUGAACUCUCUUAUUGUACUAGUGUUUAAAAGCAGAUAAGCUGUUACCUCUUGAAUUCCACAGGCUGUCUAGUUAUACUGGUCAGGAUCUCUUCCAGCUCAAUUUUUUAAAAAAUCCUUUGUCUUGACUUCCAAAGGCACCUGUUAAGAGUGGACUUCUCAAGCUGUGUAAAGUGCUUUUGGCAUAAUCAAGUCUAUGUUGUUCCAUGAAGCUCUAAGUCCAGAGUAACUGUCUUUAGUUGAUCAUAUUGAAAGCAAGAACAUCAUUUCAAACAAACUAAGUCUGAGAUAUUUAACCCAUAUGUGCUUUCAGACCUGGUAUGUAUGAGCUUUAGCAAUGAAGCCUUAUUCCAUUUUGAUGUUAUAAAAAAUGGAGGGAUUUCCCUGCACUCAGUUUCACACCCACUAUUUGACUUAUAUUUGAAGGGGGAAAGAUAAGGGCUGUGUUCUUUUGAUCUGAAUUUUUCUGUUCUUAAAUUUUUUUUUCUAAGAACACUAGUUAGUACCUGGAGACAUUCCGACAUAUUUAAAGAAUUAAUUUGCUUUAAUGAAAAAAGUUGUUUCUUUAAACAUUUAAAUAAUUACUUUUUCUUCAGUGAAAAAUUAGUUUGCUUUAAUGAAAAAAAGGUUUUUUUCAUAACUUUCAUUACAUGAACCUUUAGCAAAGGAGAUUUCUCCCAUUAUAUACUUCUUAUGAUCAACAAAUUCCAUCAUCUCCCCACUAAGAGAAAGUACUCCAAGAUGAUAGAAUGAUUUUAAAGUUGUGGGACUACAACAGCAUCCACAGGAACCUUGAGUAAGUACCAUGAACCCUGACCCUCAGCGUUAAUUUGUAAGCCUUUGGCAGCGAGAUGGAAUGUCUUCCUUCAGUUUGAAACAAAGGAAACCUAUUGCAUCACAGGUAAAUUUGUAUAUUGAUGCUAUAUUGACUUUGUAGCUGCCAUGCCUUCAUAUAGACACCUCAUCCAGCCCCCACUGUUGCACUUAUUGUGAUGGUUUGUGUAUCUUUAUUUCAAAGAAGAUCUGUUUGAACAGUGUUUAAUUUGUUCUUUGACCUGCUUUCAUCACUGCCCAUGCCUACCGUGGUGGUAUUCUCAUCCACGAGAGUACCACAUCCAUGCCACUAGGUGGCAUUCUCAUCCAUGAGACUACUGCACCCGUGCACGCGUCAAGAAGUAGCCAAGCCAUGGGCUGGGUUGUGCUUUUCCUGAGAGGAUGAAAGGCUUCAUGGAUACAUGCUAGUAUCCAUGUUCCUCUAUUCCCAAGUCAGGCACCAAGAUGAUGUUUCAUACCUGCCUGCCUUUCAAAGUCUCAUAAAUGUUCAUUGAAUAUCCACUCUAUGCAAGGCACUAGGGUAGUCACAGAGGCAAGCUUUGAGCUAAACUACAGGCCCUGCCCUCCAGGAGCUCCCGGUCUCAUGGCAGGGUGCAGAAGCCAGAAUAGAGGGCCAUGGCAUGGGAGAGAACUCUGCCGACUGGGAGCUCUGAAGGGUUAGGGGUCCAUGAGCCUGAUUUAUGGGGCUGUUGCCAUAGGAUUAGGGGCUCCCUGGCAUACAGUGAAUGGAGAGACUAGCAUCGCUGUGUUAUUUCACUGAGAAGGCACCAGUGUUCAGCCUCUUGAGACCAGGGGAGGAAAGCAGUGGCCAUGAAUGUUCCCCCCCAUCCCGGGGACUGACUGGGCUCCUCCCACAGUCUCAGACGCAGAGGGGGAAGUGUACUGACACUGCCCCAACACCAGUGAGUGGAAAUAUUUAUAGGUCUCUCAUUUGGUUUUAAUUUUUAUUUUUUUAUUUUUCAAAAAUUAAAAAAAAAGAAAAUCACACUCACAAAAUUAACCAUUACCCACAUUCCUACCAACAAGAAGUAACCAUUCUUAACCUUGUAAUAUGUUGGUUUCCAGAUGUAUGUUUAUGCUUUAAAAAAUUAUGCAGACAACGUAUUAGCACAUUGCCCCUUUUCUCAUUUGUUUUAAUCCAUGUUCUUCCCAUUUAUACAGGAGCAAUUCUUGCAUUCAGUUAUGGGAUACUAUAAAUGCCUAGUAUAAUGGCAGCAGAGAGGAUUACUAUGGUUGUAUACCUUUUCUCGCUCCUUGCUCCUCAAAUGCCUAGAGUUUAAAAUCUAUUGUGGAAAGUUUGUAAAAUGCAGAACGGUGAAAAUAAACAAAUUACCAGUGGUU